GCUGGGCACCGCAGCGUGUGCCUGUAGUCCCAGCUACUCGGGAGGCUGAGGUGGGAGGAUCGCUUGAGCCCAGGAGUUCUGGGCUGCAGUGCGCUAUGCCGAGCGGGUGUCCGUGCUAAGUUUGGCAUCAAUAUGGUGACCUCCCGGGAGCGGGGGACCACCAGGUUGCCUAAGGAGGGGUGAACCGGCCCAGGUUGGAAACGGAGCAGGUCAAAACUCCCAUGCUGAUCAGUAGUGGGAUCGCAUCUGUGAAUAGCCACUGCACUCCAGCCUGGGCAACAUAGCGAGACCCCGUCUCU
rnacentral:SRP_RNA from 1 species